rnacentral:misc_RNA from 1 species
GAUGCAGAACGUAGCGAAAUGCGAUACGUAAUGUGAAUUGCAGAAUUCAGUGAAUCAUCGAGUCUUUGAACGCACAUUGCGCCCCCUGGUAUUCCGGGGGGCAUGCCUGUCCGAGCGUCAUUGCUGCCCUCAAGCACGGCUUGUGUGUUGGGCCUCCGUCCUCCUCCCGGGGGACGGGCCCGAAAGGCAGCGGCGGCACCGCGUCCGGUCCUCGAGCGUAUGGGGCUUCGUCACCCGCUCUUGUAGGCCCGGCCGGCGCUUGCCGACACAUCAAUCUUUUUUCCAGGUUGACCUCGGAUCAGGUAGGGAUACCCGCUGAACUUAAGCAUAUCAAUAAGCGGAGGA